UAGCUGGGUGUGGUGGCUCACACCUGUAAUCCCAGCACUUUGGGAGGCCGAGGCAGGCAGACCAUUUGAGUCCAGAAAUUCAAGGCCAGUCUCGGUAGACAUGUCAAAACCCUGUCUCUACUAAAAAUACAAAAAUUACCCAGGUGUGGUGGCAUGUGCCUAUAAUCCCAGCUACUUGGGAGGCUGAGGC